GACAGAGGGGGGCAAGCGUUGCUCGGAAUUACUGGGCGUAAAGGGCGCGUAGGCGGGAUGGCAAGUCGGUCGUGAAAUCCCUCGGCUCAACUGAGGAUCGUCGAUCGAUACUGCCGUUCUUGAGGAUUGCAGAGGAGACUGGAAUUCCCGGUGUAGCGGUGAAAUGUGUAGAGAUCGGGAGGAACACCGGUGGCGAAGGCGGGUCUCUGGGCAAUUCCUGACGCUGAGGCGCGAAAGCGUGGGGAGCAAACGGG
rnacentral:rRNA from 1 species